UUGAACCUUUAGGGUUCAAAAAAGAACCUUUAAGUGCAAAAAUGAACUUCUAGCUAUCAAAAAGGUUCAAAGUUGAACUUAAAGGUUCUAUAAUGAUCCACUGGUUAUUUGGCAGUUAUUUUAAGAACCUUUGUUGUGGUAAAAGGUUCAUAUUAGAACCUAGCAUAUUUAAGGUUCUUUCAUGAACCUUUUCUAAGAUGUACUGUAAAUAAAAAACAGUAAAGUUAGAACACAAUUUGCUUAACUGUUACAUUAGUAAAUUAUUUAUUUACACACUCAGAAUUAAUGAAUUUACUCUUAUUCAAUUACUAAUUGGGAUGUCAGAUGCAGUUGUGGCAACAUUGUUGAUACAAUGUGUUUCGUCUGUACUCAUGACCACCUCACAUAUCUCUAAAUUGCACAAUAAUCUUUAGUGCACCAUGUUGUUGUCCAUUUUUAGAACAUAAAUUAAAAAUCACAAAAAAACAAA